AUUGAACGCUGGCGGCAGGCCUAACACAUGCAAGUCGAGCGGAGCGGAGGACGGGUGAGUAAUGCCUAGGAAUCUGCCUGGUAGUGGGGGAUAACGUCAGGAAACGGGCGCUAAUACCGCAUACUAUCAGAUGAGCCUAGGUCGGAUUAGCUAGUUGGUGGGGUAAAGGCCUACCAAGGCGACGAGCCGUAAGUGGUCUGAGAGGAUGAUCAGUCACGCGGGAUCUGAGACACGGCCCAGACUCCUGCGGGAGGCAGCAGUGGGGAAUAGUGGACAUAUGUAGCAAUGCUGAUCCAGCCAUGCCGGGUGGUGGAAGAAGGGUUUCUGAUUGUAAAGCUCUUUAAGUUGAGAGGCGUUCCCAACAGAAUAAGCACCGGCGAACUUCGUGCCAGCAGCCGCGGUAAUUC
rnacentral:rRNA from 1 species